GAUGAAGAACGUAGCAAAAGGCGAUAAGUAAUGUGAAUUGCAGAAUUCAGUGAAUCAUCGAAUCUUUGAACGCACAUUGCGCCCGCCAGUAUUCUGGCGGGCAUGCCUGUUCGAGCGUCAUUUCAACCCUCAAGCACAGCUUGGUGUUGGGACUCGCGUUAAUUCGCGUUCCCCAAAUUGAUUGGCGGUCACGUCGAGCUUCCAUAGCGUAGUAGUAAAACCCUCGUUACUGGUAAUCGUCGCGGCCACGCCGUUAAACCCCAACUUCUGAAUGUUGACCUCGGAUCAGGUAGGAAUACCCGCUGAACUUAAGCAUAUCAAUAAGCGGAGGA
rnacentral:misc_RNA from 1 species